GGGGGCGUAGCUCAGUCGGUAGAGCAACGGCCUUUUAAGCCGUGGGUCGCGCGUUCGAUUCGCGCCGCCCUCA
rnacentral:tRNA from 1 species